UACAGAGGGGGCAGGCGUUGUUCGGAAUUACUGGGCGUAAAGGGCGCGUAGGCGGCCUGCUAAGUCGAACGUGAAAUCCCUGGGCUCAACCCAGGAACUGCGUCCGAUACUGGUUGGCUUGAAUCCGGGAGAGGGAUGUGGAAUUCCAGGUGUAGCGGUGAAAUGCGCAGAUAUCAGGAGGAACACCGGUGGCGAAGGCGGGUCUCUGGGCCGAUACUGACGCUGAGGAGCGAAAGCGUGGGGAGCGAACAGG
rnacentral:rRNA from 1 species